UCCCUGGUGGCUCAGAGGUUAAAGCGUCUGCCUGCAAUGCGGGAGACCUGGGUUAGAUCCCUGGGUUGGGAA
rnacentral:tRNA from 1 species